UGAUAUUUUCGCUCAAAAGAGACUAACAUCUUUCUCUCUCUACUUCCCAAAAUAUCUCACGCUUUCUCUCUCUUCCUUCUUGAAAAGUGACGCGCGAUUUUUUCUUCGAAAGCCUUCGUUCUUCAAAUUCCAGAAAUUCGUCCCAAGAUUAGCAAUAUUUCAAUUAACUUGAAUCUGCAAUCAUCGAGCUCAAAAUUAAAGAUUGAAUUUCCCGCGAAAUUGCUGAAGACAAGGGCAAGCGUUGCGAGUUCCCAAAUUGAUUUCUAGGCAAUGAAAGAUGGAGUUGACAUCCUGAACUUGUCAGUAGAACCAGAUGAACCAAGAGAAGACACAAUAACUUCCCUUGAUGUAUUUGAAAUCUCCACACUACUCGCAAGAAGAGCAGGAUUUUGUGGUAUAAGCAGCAGGGAACAAAGGGCCUGACCCUAGCUCCGUGGUAUCCUUCAGUCCUUGGCCUGUUGGAGUCGGUGCUUGCAGCACGGACAGAAGUUACCCUGCUAAUCUCUUUCUCGGAAAUGGUCAAAAGAUUGCAGGAGUUGGGUUAUCAGGCAAGUCUGAAUCCUUUAUAAACAUGUAUUUACUGUCAUUGGAGACAUACAUGUAAAUUCUCUGUUUACAUUUCUCAAAUGCAAGGCCUACCUUUGGUAAUGGGAUACUAAAAUAUAA